CAUCGAACGAUAGCUGCUGGGAGGACCACGUUGUUGGUCAGAACGCGGGCUUAUAGCCUGGCUCUUCUGCCCUGGGUGCGGUUCUUGGUUUACCAGUGGGGACACAGGCUGAGAAGUGACUGGCCAACCCAUCAGUCCCAUCUCCACGCACAAGCCAGCUUACUCCUUGGUAACGUUCUUUUCUGCUUGAGUCACUGGAAGGCGAAGGAGCUGAAAGCCCCUAUCUGGGCUCUGAUAAAGGUGGGAAUGGGCCUCAGGGGGUCUCCAAAGGGGCCUCCCUAUUCUGCGUGGUGUUCGUGAGUAAAGGCCCUUCAAUUGUUUCGUGUCUUCCUAGUCUUGGGUCUCUACCAGCUCCUGCUUUUCCAUGGAGGACCCUACAGGCCGAACGCCCGCGGUAGUCCUCACUUCCAGGCGAGUCUGAGGACGCGAGAAAGAGCCUUCUGCUAGCGCCUGGUGAAAUCGAUCUACCUCCACCUUCGCACGCAGGGUCACCUCAUUAGUGCCGCGAGCACACCCGCCGGGUCUUUUGGUCGCGCCGGACUCCGUUUCCUAUCGCGGGGCACUUUGGGAUUCGUAGCCCGUGAAUUUGAGACGGACGCACACCAUUGGUUCGUGAGGCCGUCACGUGAUGUUUGGGUGCCCGGCCCGCCCGGCAUCGCCCUCCCACAGCGAGCUGAAGAGCGCAACCUAGAGUCAGUGCAGCAGCGCUGUGGAUGGUCUCACACUUUUACAGUGAAGAGGUCCUUCCUAAGGCAUUGGAACCAAAGAGGGACCUGACUGAAUGUGAAGUUUGCUCUUGCCAGAUCCAGCUCUCACCUCUUCAUAUGCCAACAGGCUACCGCACAGAACCUGAGCUUUUGAGCAUUCAAAGGACCUACUCAACACAGUCAUCCCUUGGUGCUCAUAGGGGAUCGGGUCCAGAAUCACCUCUGAAUGCAAAAGCCCAUAAUACACCAUCAUAUAAAAGCAUUUGCAUAUAACCUAUGUGACACAUAUACAACUUAAAGAAGAAAGAGUUUAUUUUGAUUCUUGGUUUCAAAGGUUUCAGUCCAUGGUUAGUUGGCACAGAGGCAGACAUGUGGUGGAAGAAGCUCCUCAAUUCAUGGCAUCCAGGAAGCAGGCAGCAGUGGAAGAGACAGAGAAGGCGCCAGAGACUACAUACAAUUCCUGAGGUCAUACCCGUGUGACCCACCCACACACCAAAAAGUGUGCUUUUACUAAUAUUUUGGUGCCUCAGUUCCUAAGGAUGUGAGGCUUGUGGCCCUCCUGGUGGCUUUUUGAAGCUCUUUUAGCAACUUUUCCUGCUUCUCUGGAGCUUUUCAAAGAUCACUGCAGGUCUCUGCUGGACAUUGCCAAUGUUUGCCAGUCUCCUCUGGUCUCCAUACAUUACCACCAAUCUCUACUACUCCCUGGAGCUCUUCAGGCUAAUGGCCUUUAAUAUUAUCAGCUUUUUUAGUACAAUCCACACAGCCCACUGGACCUGAGUUAAGAAUCUCACAAAGGCAAUGGAACCACCCAAGUGAGACUUUCACGGGGGGCCUGUCCUGGAGCAUGUGGGUAGGUAGUACACCUAGCCUGCCCGAAAGAGUGUAGUGGAAUGCUGUUUAUAUAGAAGAGUAGGAGUGGGCAAAUACAUGCAGUUUCCUGCAUUUUGAGGAUCUUUUGGGGUCUUUUCAGAGACACUCACAAUGCCUGCAGAGUAGUCAUCCUGGACAAGCAAAUAUCUCCUGGAGCAACUAUGGAGCAUCUAGGACAGCUUCAGCUGUCAUGGCAACAGCACAGAAAACUUCAUGUGAAGCUUCUGGUUGGCAGAUCCUGUGUCUCUGUUACGAUGAUGGUGCUGAAAUUGUUACUAUCACUGCUUUCAUGGAGUCUCUCUUGGAGGAUAACUAUACUCAUUGGGAUUUUUGGAAAUAUCAGCAUUAGGCUGUAAGUCCUGCCAUGAUUUUUUGCUGUUAGUGGUGGUUUCUCAGGGUUUCUCAGAAAGGAAGAAGCAGCACCUGUGUAGCCUUGAGUGGGGCAGGGGUCACAGCUGUUGACCAAUCUGCACCUCCUAUCAGUGCAGCCCAGAAGACAGCCACUGAAGCAAACACAGAGGUAGUUGGAAGGCGCUGGGGCUGCUUUCCCAAGCCACCCUUGUGGAGGUGAGGGGGAAAAAGGAGGAGAGACUUGACAGCCAAGUCAGAUCACACCCUGUCUGGCUGACCAAGGGAAAGGAGAAGGGUUUGGCCUCAUUGUUUUGUAUCUCACUCUCAUGGUGUUAUAAGAUAACUCAUGAACCAGUGUUCACGGUGCUGGGAACAUGCAGGAUGUGAAGAGGGCUCAGUGGCAGGAGUAAGACUGGCUACAUGUUUGUGGCUCCCUGAGGGAAUGACAUUGUGGCUCCAUGGUGAUUGGAGGUAUAGGGUAGCACUGCCAGUGUGGGGAAUAAUGGAUGGAGGAGAGAGGUCUUGAGUCACAGCUGGCUAAGUGUGAGGACAUCACUGCCUAAGUGGUAAGUUAGAUCAGCCUUUGGUGCAUAGGGACAAAGAGCCUACAGUCCUUCCAUGGUUCAGCAAGAAUAUGGGAUUAAGUACCACUGAGCAUGUCUCUUAGCAGCUAAUUACAUCCUGCCCCAUCUCUGGGGAAUGGUAGUGAGGACAAGUGACAUCACAGCUACUACUAUCACCAAAUGUGGGCUACUAGAGUACAACUGACCUCUUGUCCAGUGCUUGCUGCUCCUACAAAGGAGACAUGGAGUCCUUGUUCUCAGACUCCAGAGCAUGAAAUCAGCCCCAAUUCAGUGUGCCCAUGCCCUAGCCCUCCUUUCUGAGUUGGAGUUGGCCUAAUGUGCCAUGGAACAUACAUGAUCCCAAACAUGGGAAAUCAGCACAGCCUCAAAGAGGUAUACACAGGAAUGUGUGCCAGGGAAGUGCUCUCUGGGAAGAAAUUAUGUCUGAUGGCUCAUUGUGAUGAACUUUAGAGCAGAAGGUGUUUGGCCCUCCCAGCUCCUUUUUCAUGUGUGGUACCUCUCUGGACAGCAACAUAGGCUACAGAGAGCUGCUGGUCCAGUAGGGAGACUAGUAGCUUCAAGAACCAUGGAAAUCCUAUCUCAUGGCUUAUGCAGCAGCCUAAUCUAGUUCCUACUUUUCAUGGGAGUGGUGCUAGUGGAUUGGUGUGCCCAGAAACUUCCAGGCAGGGAGUGUGUAGUCUGUGUCCUGAGAGGCCUGUCCCCAUGCUGAUCCAAAGCACUAAGAGUAGCAUGAUUUCCUUGCUUCCAAUUCCAUGUGGCCAGAUGUAGGAGGGUGGGCUUUGAUGGUUAGUGGUGCUCACAUCAAACCUGAGCAGGUAGGACUAGACUCAGGGCACACUUGUCUGAUCCCUUACUUGGAGAGUCCUGUGGUGACACUUAGAGCCACUUAGAGCAGUAGUGGCAAACCUAUCACUGUCCUAGAGGGUCAUAUUUUUAUCCUUCUGGGUGCAGUGGUGAACAUUCCAGUGGGGGGGUAUUAGGGAGGACAAGCAGACUGAUGGUAGGAUGUAGUGUGGGUACAGAUGCACUAGCUUGGCCUUGAAGCCAAGUUCACCACUUAUGUUAUUUGCAACAAGCCAGUUAGGACUUGGUUCCUAAGCCAUGAAACAGGCUUCUGAUGCUUACAUUGUCAGGUUGGAUUGUGCCAGAGCAGGUCCUGGCUCCUGUGAGCUAUAUUGUCCAUGUCUGUGAGAUCGUAGGGUCUGGUGUCUAUAGGGUGCUGGCUGAGGGAGUGGGUAGUGAUGAUGCAUGGAGAAGGUGGAGAAUGUGGCCUUGCCUGAGGUGAAGAGGGGUGCAAAGUACCAGGACUAGUGCCCCUAUUUACUGAAGGAAGGCUAGGCCUUGGCAUCCUUAAGCCUUCCUUCUGUUUGCAGCAGGAGAACCUUCAGCUGGAAUAUUUGAAAACUCAACUUUCAGAUGCCAUUCAGUGAUAAGGAGUUGUCCAGAAGGUGCUGGGGUGCUGAGGUGGCCCUGACACAUGCCUCUGGGACCACACAUACCCAUGGGACCACCAAUACAUGCUGGAGGGUCCCACAGAGCACAGCAACAAGGAGGAUCUAAGGAUGUGAUAGCUCCAACUGAGCGAGUGCUGAAGACUCCUGUUGUCAGCGUAGAGUUCAAAUUGGGUUAGUAACCAGAGCUGAGUCUCUAAUUUAAUGACUGGCAGAGUAAGCCCAAGGCUUCUGGAAAUAUCCACAGCCCUCACUAGGCCUAAGGCAAGAGUUGAGAGGUCAAGUGACCCCGUAAAGAUCAGACCCUUGGGUCUGCUACUGCCACCAGAAGCUAUGUAGGACCCAGUUGGGAUGAAGCUUUGUGUUAAGGAUGUGUGGUACUGACCCACAUGCAGUGAAAAUCACAGAUGAGGGAAAGUACACCCACUGCUCCUCAGACCUGGGUCAGGAAUCCUGAGAAAGGAGGGUAAGAGGCCAGUGGGUGGGAUGUUUUCUAAGCCAGGAACCUGACAGGCCAGUCAUGCCUCCAUCUGAGCCCAUCAGUCCCCACUCAUAAAUCACUACCUGCCAGGCAUAGCCAGGCCCCAAACUAGCAACAAUCGAAUAGCUUUUCCUAACAAAUGGAGUAGGCCCACGAAAGGGUCCUGAGUCUUCUCUGUGGACCCUAAAUGCCAAGGAAGGGCAGUGAGGGAGCAGAAGCCCAUAGACCAGGAGCAAGGGAUAUUCACAUUCAGAUGGGGACAAACAAGGUAUGUGAACUUGUCGGGAUGAGUCCUUGUUGCCGUAAAGGCUGGGGGACUUGAUUCAUGGAUGUGGAGAUGGUUGUGCCCAAGGAAGGCCUGUGUGACAACAGGCAGAUCAGAUUGUUUUGAGUGUCAUGCCAUAUCCUGAGACACAUCAGCAGGUCCACCAUCACUGUCCCUGGGAUUUGUACAACAACAGGUUGGAGAUGAUGAGUGAUGGAAAGACUCAACAGGAUUGGUGGCCACAAUCACUGAGCAGGAAAUGGAUGCAGUGCUGCAAGCCAUCCAGGUGGAAGGGCUGGUGUUACAGAAGCCCAUAUGGAAGGACCCGCCUCUCUUGAGGAGGUCUAAGGACCAGGGUAUAGAAGGGAACCAGUGUUCACAAAACAGGAUGGGUCUAACCAUGAAGUAGGUGUUCAGGGCAGGAACUAGGUAAGGAGGUAUCCUAGUCCUAGUCAUCAGGCAAAGAACUCAGUGUGGGGCCUGGCAGUGGUUUCGAGAGUGGCUGGACUUGAUGAGGGGAGUAGUCUGGGGCUGCCAGGAAAAACAUAGAUGACCCAGUUCUGUAUGAAUUGUAAAUAAGCAACAAGUGACUGUUUAAUAUAAGCAUGCCUUAGAUAUUACAUGAGACAUAUGUGUACUAAAACACCCCUUUGACUGUAUCUGAAAUUCAAGGUUAACUGGCCAUUUUAUGUGUAUGUUGUAGCCUAGGCUCAAGGGAAAUGGGCUAGAAGCUUUGUUCUAGUCCAUCAGUGGGCUAAAGAGAAGGAGAGAAGGUAGUCUUGACCUGAGAAUUGAAGCAUGAGACAGUUCUCCUGCCUAUCAGGUAAAUUCCAAGGAGGCCCUGAGAGGUUCCCACCACAACCUGUCUAGGGAUGGCCAAAACCUGAGUGGGCAGGAUGGAGAUAUAUGCUCAUACCCUCAUCUUUAUGGAGUCCAUUGAUGAUUACAGUCUCUGAACACUAUCUGAAUAGCCAAGCUUGUCUGUGACCAGUCCCCCAGGAAGAAAGGUUGGAGAUCCCAAUCCCCAGCCUACCUACCCUGUACCUCUCUAAAGCCCUGUGGCUGCAGCCUUGUGAGCUUGGGCAUGCUCUGCAUUGCCCCAGAUCCUAUCUGGCCAGUGCAGUGCUUCAGGGAAUAGAGCACUGGUGACUGUGAGCCCUGGCCAUAUCUUCUGGGAAUCCUAGGAAGUGUAGGUCUCCAACGCAGGACCUGAGGAGGGCUGUGGAGAGAGCUGAGGCUGGCAUUGACUAGCUCAGGUGUUUGGGGGUCUGGCAUGCUGUGGUCCCUAGGAUGUUAAGAACUACCUUGCCAUGGGGUUCUUAGAGAAUCUCAGAGUUUCCAAUCUCAUUUUCAUUAGCAAAUUAGUGUAAGUUAAUCAAAAACCCUAGAACAGGCAGAUAGGUAAAAAUAAGCAAGAAAACACCAUCCAUGGCCCCAGGGCACCAGGGUCUGAGGACCCCAACAGUCAGAGACAAGGGCAUCUCAUGUCCUGGAUUAUGAUAAUCAAGGGAGGUGGGACCUCUCACUGGCCACUGUCCCACUGAACGAGUCAUUCAGCUCAGCACAUCUCAUAUGCAAGCUCAUGUGUGGGUGCAUCAUCUUUUUAACAGAGCAUGAGUGUCUUAUUUCAUGGAUGUUUUAUAGGAAAGCUAGGACUGGAAAUUCCCUGUCCCUGAAUUUCUGACAUGAAAAUUGUGCUCCCGAGGAAUGCACCAGCCUGUAGACUAUAAUGGGAAAAGUCUGCUGAUGAAUUUGAUGUGGUGAUCUCUUUUUUUAAAAUUUAAAAACCAAACCAAACCAAACAAAAAAAGGAUAAAAACAAUACAGAAUUUCAAAAAAAUAGGAAAUUAAUGCUAAUUAAUAUAUUGUAUAUUGUUAUUUUGGAAGUAGUUGUUUGAAUUGCAAGACUUAGGCAAGAAAAAAUGAUAAAACAAUCCAACAAUGAAAAUACAAACUAUUCUUUUUGAUGAACUUGCAGAGAUUAGUAGCACAGUUAUCUAUCUUGUGUGUGUGUAUAAAUAUAUAUAUACACACAUAUGUAUAUGUAUACCUAUAUACAUAUAGUCUUUUCCCUUCUUCCUUUUCUCCAUUCCCCCAUUCCAGUUGUUCUUUCCUUUUGAGCAUUUCAUUUCCCCUUCAUUUUACAAUAUCUAUUGUACAUUUUCAGUCUUCUUUACUCUUUUUUUUUAAUUUACACCAGAGAGACAAUACAAUAUUUAUACACGCGACUCAUUUAUUUCAUUUAUGAAUAUGGUCUAUAGUUGCAUCCAUUUACCUAUAAAGCCUCAAGUUUAUCCUUCUUUUAUAGCUGAGUAAUACUCCAUCGAGUAAAAAUACCACAUCUUUUUUAUCCAUUCUGUAAUUGAUGGGCAUUUGGAUUGUUUCCGAGAUUUCUUCCUAGGAGAGCAGAGGGAGGAACUAAGGAGGUCUUAUCAUUGUCUUUAUUAUCUUCUUUUUUAAAGACAAUAAGGUUGGAGACCAAUAGGGCAAAAAAGGGUUUAAUAAUGCCAUGUAGAUAUUUGAUAAUGGUAGCAUUUAAUAAGGCCAGCAUGGGACAUGUGUGGAUAUGGAGUGACUUUUCUAGACUUGUUUAAAAUAUUUUACAGGACAUUUUAAAUUGCUCUGGUCCUGUUUUCCCUAAUGAUGUGGCCACACCCACACAUGUUUUAGUUGGGGUGGGAGAGACCAUUCAUUUUACAGAAACCAGAUGGGCAGUACCAUUUGUCUGUGGCAUCCUGCACUGGCUGGGCAGGUGGACUGUCCCCUGCCAGCAGCUGUGAAUCUGUGGGGAUGGGGCUGUGGUUCUGCUCGACUUGGAUUAUAUAUCAUGCCAUGUGGUAAAUGCUUGUGGGUAGGGUUGCUAGGUUUAGCAAAUAAAAACAGGACACCCUGGUAAAUCUGAUUUCAAAAAACAGAUUUUUAGUAAAAGAAUGCUUGUGGAUCAUUAGGGGCACAACUAUAUGAGAGUAUUAUUUGUCAGAACAGGGGUGUGAUGGGUCCCAGGGAGAGAUGGCUGUGAAAGGCAAUGGUCCACAGGCUCUGGCAGCAGCCCUGUGUGCUUUCCCCUCUCUCUGGUGAGAUGCCUGUGCAAGUGCUGCCAAGCAAAAGAGGAGAGGUCGGAAUCCCUGAUGGGGCAGCUGGGUGAGGCACAGGGCAGGACACUGUCAUUGAUGAGGGAGUGGAUGGACCUUCCAUCUCCAUUGUAAGGCAAACACCAAGAAUGAAAGCUACAGAUGCAAUCUGAGAUUUCAGAAGGCCUCUGGGAAGGAGCAAUUUUAUCUGCAUAGAAGGGGCAACCCAAACACAGGACAGGAAAACUACCCAGCUGAACAAGCUCCGAGUGCAUGCUUGUGUGUGUGCAAUGUGUGCUUCUACACACAUGCAUGUAUGAGAAGCAAGCUUCCAGGUGUGUUCUGGCAGGAUCUUCAAAAAGAAUUCAGUAAAUACCUGGGGAUAGAAAAAUAAAAACUGGGAUGUAUGUUAAUUUAUAGAUGUGAGCUUGUCUUAUGAGUUCUCAAAUGAAACUGUGUCAAGAACAGAAUGGAAUGAAUCUGUGGAGUGAGAGGACAGAUGGUGUCUGGCCCUGAUGCCGAGUCCCACUUUGUCUCCAGAAAUGCAUGUGUUAGAGACCUUUCCACUCUUGUGCUCUCUGGAACUGAAUUGCUGAAGUAAAUGAAGAACAUGAAGAACUAGAGUGUCAGGUGGCCAUCAGUUUCUAAGCCUGCAGCAACAUCCUGGCUGGGCAUCUCUGCAGGUCUGCAUCCAGAUUGUCCUCCACAGGAAGGAACCUCUUGAUGCCUCUGGACGUGUAACUUGAAGAGGCCCUGGACAAAGCUCUGCAUGGAAACUUCCGUGGUGUAGCUCUGUGUUCAAGGUGACCCUCGACUGGAUGUGCAGGUUCCUGAAGAAGAUACUGUCUUAGGAUUCAUCUGUCAAGGCUUUAAUUAAAUACAAUCACAAUGGUGAAUGUUUUUUUAAAAAAAAAAAAACUAAGCCCAGAAAAAUUAAAAAAUAAUUUGUGUGUCAUCCUUGA